GAUGAAGAACUGAUACAGAAGAAGCAUGAGGAGAGACUGGAGAUGAUCCCACAGAAUAUGCCAUGAAGAGAAAAGUGAGUGCAUGAAUACUGGGAUCUGUUUUUGUUUUUUUUUCACCUUUACCUGGACAUAAACAAGGUUUUAUGAUUAAGUUCUUAAUUCUUUACAAAUCAUAAAUAAUUUGAGUAUGGAUCUGCCAUUUCAGUUGUUAAUGGAUAUUACAUUUACCCAAGAAAAGUAUCAGGUUGCUUAUUAACAGGCCAGUGAAGAAGAUGAGGCUGUAAAAUUACUCCAGCUAAGAAAAGAGGGGGCAGAGUCAAAGAUACACAUUCCAGGGGAGGAGGGGCUUAUUGUAUCUUGGCUUAUUGCAAAAUAUGAGAGUGAUGAUGAAGCCACACCCAAGAGCAGGUAUUGAUUGUGUUUAUGGAUGACUGGAUGAGUGUGUGUUCUCCAGCCUUGAGUUCUCAUAGGGUUUCCUCUGUAGGAUGUGUGAUGAGGACGCAUUGCUGUCGCCCAGUGGUAGAGCAUUGUGUUAGCAGCGCAAAAGGUCAUGGGUUCAAUUCCCAGAGAACACACAUAGUGGUGAAAAAAACAACAACAGUAUAGCCUGAAUGCACUGUAAGUCUCUGUGAAUAAAAGCAUCUGCUAAAUGCAUAAAUGUAAAUGUAUGGUUGCAGAAGUUGAUUUUGAUUGUACAUCAAACCGAUCUUCUCUGUGUUGAAGGGACUUCUCCGCACACUCGGAGGUUGGUUGUGUGGCAGGUUGUUUUGUUUGAUCAUUUUAUCUUGUUCCAUCUCGUUUUAUCUAGCUGAUUUGUUGCUGUGGUUUACUGUUAAUAGGUAAAGUGGGUCAGAAUUCGAACAGUCAGUCCUGCCAAGCAGGUAAACAAACACAACCGGCACGCAAAGCACAAGAAACCUUUCGAUGUUUCUAAAUGUUUUCGUCCUUCAUUAAGUGUUCUGAUUUUGAAUUCCUUUACACAACAGGAAGCGAGUGCUGACCAUCAAUGACUUCCUGUUUAAGGCUCCAGCUAUUACACUGACGCAGGAUUAUUUAUAUAAUAAUCUGUUUGGACUUGUGCAGAAGUAUGAAGGUAGUGGUGUAAUCACACACUGGAGAUCUGAGAACGAAGAGAACCGUCACACAGAAGGACUGGGACACUUCCUGCAGACGCUUCAGAACAGACCUCCAGAUGUUUCAGAGCAGCAGAUGGCAGUAGAAGACAAACCAAUCAUGGUUUCUCCAAUGAUGCUGCUGAAGGUUUCCUGUUUGCCCUCACUAAAGCCAACAUAGACGGACAAGUCGUGAUGCAAAGACAGGCAUGUCUUUCUCAGAGCAGUCUGAAGUUUCUCUUACUGAACGCCACAGUUCACUCCAGAUCAUCCAAUCAGCACACACACACACACACACACACACACACACAAACUUCACAAGCACUGUUGGACACAGCUGUCUCAGUUACAUAACGUUAAACGGACAUAUUAAAGUCUCUGAGUGUGUAGAAGAACAUGCUGAAAGCAAGACUGACUUUGUGUUAAUGUUUUGCAGAUUGUUGAUUUUAAAGAGCAGCUUCUUUUUUCCGCUGGGGGUCACAGAAGACCGUAUUUUAGAGUUCUCUUGUGGUCACGUCAUACCCCCUGUGAGCAUCCUACCCAUAGUGCUAAGCGCAGGCCCCUCAGGACAACAGUUGGAGUUCACUUUUCAAACUAGAGACACCCACAGAUGGUAAAACGUACAUGAGCAAAUUAAAACUACCACAGAUGGUGACAAGCAAACACAACAAAUCUCUGCUUGUCUUAAUUUAUGGCCACAAAAAAGUAUCAGCACUUGUGCACAUAUAUGAAAUAUUGUUUUAUUUGUAUAAACUUAACUUUAAAACAAGAACAAAUAUUUGUAAAUGGAAUACGAAAGCAUGUUUUUCAUUGGAAUUCAGUUUAUGUUUGUGAGCCCCUUUGCAGAUAUGUGUAAUUGUAGAUAAUUUGGAUAAUUUUAAUACAUUUAUCAGAAAGCAAGACUUCUUAUCUUGUAAUUUUUGCAUCUAACUUGAUUUUAAGAAUUUUUAGACAUUUGACAAAAAUACUGAGGAAGAACAUCACUUUUGUGCGUGAUCAGAAGGAGCAGUAAAAAUGAUUUAAUAUCCUUGUUAAGCUACUUUUUUUGUGUGUAAAUUUAAUUAAAAAGUAAC